rnacentral:rRNA from 1 species
UUUGAUCCUGGCUCAGGACGAACGCUGGCGGCGUGCCUAAUACAUGCAAGUCGAGCGCGUGAAGCAACAUGAUCCCUUCGGGGUGAUUGUUGUGGAUCGAGCGGCGGACGGGUGAGUAACACGUGGAUAACCUACCUUCGAGAUCGGGAUAACCCCGGGAAACCGGGGCUAAUACCGAAUAAUCUGUUAGACCGCAUGGUCGAACAGCAAAAGGCGGCCUAGCCGUCACUCGAAGAUGGAUCCGCGGCGCAUUAGCUAGUUGGUAAGGUAACGGCUUACCAAGGCAACGAUGCGUAGCCGACCUGAGAGGGUGAUCGGCCACACUGGGACUGAGACACGGCCCAGACUCCUACGGGAGGCAGCAGUAGGGAAUCUUCCGCAAUGGACGAAAGUCUGACGGAGCAACGCCGCGUGAACGAUGAAGGUCUUCGGAUCGUAAAGUUCUGUUGUUAGGGAAGAACAAGUGCCAGAGGAAAUGCUGGCACC